rnacentral:rRNA from 1 species
UCUACGGGUGGCAGCAGUGAGGAAUAUUGGUCAAUGGGCGCAAGCCUGAACGAGCAAUGCCGCGUGAACGAGGAAGGUCUUCGGAUCGUAAAGUUCUGUUGACGGGGAAAAAGAGCGGAGCGAGGAAAUGCUUUCUGAUUGAUAUUACCCUUCGAGGCAGUCACGGCUCACUACGUGCCAGCAGCCGCGGUAAUACGUAGGUGGCGAGCGUUAUCCGGAAUGAUUGGGCGUAAAGGGUGCGUAGGCGGCCUGCUAAGUCUGGAGUGAAAGGUACCGGCUCAACCGGUACAGGCUCUGGAAACUGGCGGGCUAGAGAGCAGGAGAGGGCGGUGGAACUCAAUGUGUAGCGGUAAAAUGCGUAGAUAGAUGGAAGAACACCAGUGGCGAAGGCGGCCGCCUGGCCUGUGACGGACGCGGAGGCACGAAAGCGUGGGGAGCAAAUAGGAUUAGAUACCCGGGCAGUC